rnacentral:SRP_RNA from 1 species
UAUCGGGUCCUUCCGAAUAGGAGCCGGUGAACCCCGCCAGGCCCGGAAGGGAGCAACGGUAAGCCGAGCUUCCUAUGUCGGAAGGUAACCCGAUAAAA